AUGGACUUUGUGCAGUGUCUGAUCGCGGUGACUGGAGCUGUAACUACCCCUCCCAGUCUUUACGCCCUGCUGCCAUACUGUGGACAAUCCUCUUCUGGAGGCUCAGUGACUGUUGGGUGUCUGGCCUCCAGCUACAGCCCCGAUCCCGCCAUCUUCACCUGGACAUCAAAUGAACAUCUCAUCACUGACCAAGUCAAGACGUAUCCCUCAGUGCUCAACAAGAAUGGUCUCUACACUCUGAGCAGCCAGUUAACAAUCGCUGAAUCCCAGCUGGACAACAUCCAUUGUAAGGUUGCACAUAAAAGCAACACAUGGCCACCCGUGGAGAUCCCCAUGCCAGUUCCCCAGAAACCGUUGCCCCCAGUUGUUAUCAUCACACAGUUUUCCCCGGAGGACAUUGCAAUGCGCAAACCGACCACUGCUAUCUGCUUCGUAUACGGUUUCCGUCCGGACAGUCUCAGGGUUGAGUGGCUGAAGGACUGGCAGCCCAUACACUCAGGUGUUGUGACCUCUCCCUCGGUUGAAAACAAUGGGACAUUCAGCACCAGCAGCCGUCUGACUGGCACCGCCAGAGAGGGGAAGAGAGACUCGGUUUACACCUGCAAGGUGACCCAUCAGCCCACCCACACCAUCACUGUCAAGAACAUCACCAAUUGCCAAGGUAGGAGGUACAGCACCAGCUGAUACACACGCCAACAA